CAUUUGGUUUUCUUCAAAACCACGAAGAAAGCAAGAAAGUUGUUCU
rfam:Manacus vitellinus contig3008, whole genome shotgun sequence.